GCGUGAUAAAUCGCCCUUUAAUUGUGGGCCCGUACGAAAGGACAAACGAAAGCUUAGCUGUCUCCUCUAAACACAUAAAAACUGUCCCUAAGGUGAAGAGACCUUAAUAUAAUCACAGGACAAAAAGACCCCGUAGAGCUUAAUUCUAAACCCACAUAACUCAAAUUUUUAAAUAUUAUUUUAUGCACAACACAGAAUUUUACUGGGGCGGUAAAGGAAAAAACCUCCAUCUACAUCCAUAAACAGGCACACAAGCCAACUUAAAAUGAUCCAUCACAUGAUCAAAGAACAUAGCUACCUCGGGGAUAACAGAUUUAUCCUCCUCAAGAGUUCACAUUGACAGGAGGGU
rnacentral:rRNA from 1 species